UACAGAGGGGGCAAGCGUUAUUCGGAAUUAUUGGGCGUAAAGGGCGCGUAGGCGGCUUUGCAAGUGACGGGUGAAAUCCCUCGGCUUAACCGAGGAACUGCCUGUCAGACUGCAUGGCUUGAGACCGGGAGAGGUGAGUGGAAUUCCCCAGUGUAGCGGGUGAAAAUGCGUAGAUAUUUGGGGAGGGAAACACCCAGUGGGCGAAGGCGGCUCACUGGACCGGUACUGACGCUGAGGCGCGAAAGCGUGGGGGAGCAAACAGG
rnacentral:rRNA from 1 species